GGAGCUGAGGAGGCCACAUCACAUGAGGAAGCUUUACUGUUUCCCCUUCUCCUGAAAUGUGUCUGGGAUGGAGAGUGUGGAGAGUGGGCCCACCUUUAUCUGGGUCCACUCAGGCUGCUGCAGAGACUACCCCAGACUGGGUGGCUGAUAGACAAGACAUUCAUUUUCCACACUUCCUGAGACUGAGAAGUCUGAGAUGAAGAAACCUAGAAGCAAGGAAGCUGCCACCAUGAUGCAGCGGGGAGUCCGAGGCCCUGGGAGGUCAUAUGACUCAUUCAAGGUCAUCCUGCUGUGGCAGAGAUGCGAUGAAGCCCUGGCUUUGACCCCAACCCCAGGUGCCAGAGUCUUCCCUGCCCUGUACAGCCCUGCUCAUGCCAUGGUCUCCUGUGGACGUUCCCUCCUUCCCACGUUGGCGGUAUUGCUGUCCAAGCUUUGCAGGGGAGGAAUCUGAGGAAUUGAGAAGUCAAGUAACACACCCAAUAGGAUAACUAGGCCUUCUUGGCAGCCAACCUCGAAGCACCACAUCGGGCUUUGAAAUGUGCGGGGCCUUUGAGAUUCAGCGCAUCUGAAUCUGAAUUUAUGCCGUCUCACUUGCUGGAAUCUACUGAUCUGUCCACUGUUCCUGGAAGAAAUACUUUGUUUUCAUGUGCCAGUUGCCUUUCCAGCCUGACUGUCAGCCCAAGGUCGCAGAGAAGAUCUGAUUGCAUGUCCUUGAUUUUGCUGCUCCCAUUCCGAGAACCAGCUUCCUCCUCUGGAAGGUCGACUGAGGGGGGCUUGACUGGACUUGGCUCAAGGCUGCAAGUGGUCCAGGUCUGCUCUGUGUGUCUUUCAUCCUCCCCAACCAGUUAGAAAACGUGAUAUCCUCUUCUACGAUGAUGAUGGAAAUACAAAAUUGGUGUUCAGGCACUUCAGGACCUCUCACCUCUGUGAAGGGACUUGGGAGACACCCAGAAAAUGAUGAAAAAUGGAGUGAAUGAGACAUUAAGCCAGUUGUGCACCAUUACCCAGCUCGCAGCCCCAUCUCCUGAGGCCAGUUGCCUAGUGGAUGCUGGAGGCAGCAUUUGGACUCAGGCAGUCGAAUCCCAGAGCCCGAAUCCUGCCGUUCUCACUGUCAUCCUGGAGCUCCAGAGCCUGUGGUCACUCAGCUGGCAACCUCACAGGCAGGCCAGCCCCUCCCCAAGCUCAUUUUCCUUAUGGCCUUGCACUGACCUCAACUUUCUUGGACAUCAAAUGCCUGUAUCGUCAACUCAAAGCCCAUUAGAGUCAUCAGUCCUUCACCUCUGCCUGAGACACAGACAGUCUGCAAAUCUGGAUGCUUCACGUCUCAAUCAGCCUCACAUCCACCUGUCCAAGCACCUGAGACACCGGGACCCAGCAGGGCACCCACUCAGUGGCAUCUCCCAGGACAAGCCAAAUAUCAUCCCCCCACUGAGACCCACUGGGCCGCUCCAGGUGUUUCCUUGCCUCCUCUUCUGAAAAUUCGGGACUGCCAUACAGACACCUCCCGGCUCUUCUGUGUGGUCAGGCGUGGGAGAGAGCGUUUGGAAGAGAAUCGAAUUUCCUUUCUGCAUCUGUGUGCUGGUGCCCAGUGCACCCUGGGACGCUAACGAACAGUGACAGAUGAGCUUCAAUUGGCUGGCGCGUGUGAGGAACCACUGGACCAGGCAAAAGAAAGCAUCAUCGGAGCCCAGCAAGGGAGGAGGAGAGAGGCUUUGCUUCAUGAAAGCCUGAACAGCAUCCAACCGAAACCAGCCGCCGCCGCCGCGCCCUGACGUGGUACUCUGCAGUUUUCAGAGUGCAUCGCAUCCAUUAUCUCCCCUGACCCGCAGACAGGCCGGCGAAGAAGGCUGAUAUGAGGUCACCCAGCCCCGUGCGUGCAGCCCCUCAAAUGCCUCCUGCGUUCCACCCCUUCUUCUCCAUUGCAUGGCCACUGCCCUUUCAAUUUCUCCCGGGAUUGUUGCAAUAGCGUCUCACUGUCUCCUGCUCCCAGCCCGCACCCUCCUGUGCCCCCUUGCUGAGUAAUCUUUUUGCACCGAAAAUUUGUUCAGCCUACAGAUGGUGUCACAGCCUCCAGUGGCCCCACCAGCUAUAGACUAAAGUCCCAACUCCCAUGUGUUCAAGGACAGCUACCCCUCUCUACAAGCCCCUUUCCUUGCAGUUUCCCUUGGAGGUGAUGAUGAGCUUUCUGAAUACACCAACCUCUUCUGGGGCCAUACCUCUUCUCAUGCCAUGAGCCUAGGCUGGACCUCUGGUCUCUUCCGUCUUGCUGACCAACCCUUAGGCUUCUUUAAGACCCAGUUCAGCAUCACUGACUUCAGGGGUCCCCUGCCCACCUGGCUGCCCAUGUUCCCAUGGAGCUUGUACCCAAGGCUGUUGUAUUCCUUACCAGCUAAUUGUCCCCUUGGUCCUUCCUGCACCCAUUCCCUCUUGUACUGCACUGGGAACUUGUCAAGCUGAGAGAUAGUGCUCCUCACUGCCAGAUCCUCUCCACCCAGUGUGGUUCAGGCACCUAGUAGCUGCUCAGCUGGCAUUGAUGAAAUUGAGUUUAUAGGUGAGGGCACCGAGGCUCAGAGCAGUUAAGGCUGGGGAGACGCCCAGCUGGUAUCCUUCUCCUGUCACUACCCCUCCCUGCCUCCCUGUUUGCUCUGGGGUCUCAGCAUCAUCCACAACCCACAUACCACUGUUCAGUUACCAAAGAUACCCCUGACUUGUCUCUGCCCAACCCUUCCUUCCUCAUCUUUUCUCCAUCAGCUUCACAACCUUGGACCAGCAAGGCCAUUGCAAUACAAGCCGAGGUUGGGAAGAGUGAGGCUCAGAGACCACAGAGAUACUUUGACACAUGGAAAAAGGCAAGACUUCCUUCCCAGGAGAUUUAUCAUUCUUCAAAAAAAUGGGGUUCUCAAAGAUUCAAGUUCACGGUGAAGAGAUGACAGUACAAGUGCUGGGAGCAAAUCACCGGGUCGACUCCAGCAGCCGGGCAAGCCCACGAGAGGAACCUCACCGGCUUCUCCGAGAGCUCCAUGCAGGAGGGACCAGCUCAGACUCCAAGCCAAAGAAAGCACUGCAAGUGUAUUCACAAUAGGAUUUGAGAAUAUUCCUUCCAGAGCGGAGGGGCCAGCCAUGUGGGGCGCUGAAAUGAUCUGUGGACAUGGGGCCCAGCAGGACUGAGCAGAAUAGUGAUCACCCACAUGCUGAGUAUAUGCUCUAACUCCACCCCCGGGGGGGAGCACCCUGAGCGGAGCCCCAUCAUCCCAGCUUCACAAAGAGGACAUGAACAGCAGAAGGUGUGGCAAGUUGUGGAAGUCACCUGGCUGGUGUGUGUUGGAUGAGGACCUGGCAGGCUGUGCCCUCGUUCUUAACCACCGUGCUGUCUGCUCGCUCCGAUCCCAGCCCUGGUCUGACACUUGCUGGCUUGGUGUUGCCCAGCAGCAUUGUCCACGCCAUACCCUCCCAAUGUGCUCCACAAACAGUUAUCAAGUGUCUCCUCUGUGCCUCUCAUUUACAGAAGAAAUGGAUGCUGGGGGAGCCUACAUAAAUGCACACAACUGUUCCUGUCCCAAAACUUGAGCCACGGUCCCAUAAAGCCCAAUUUCUCCCCUCCUCAAAGAUGCUCUUCAGUGACAGCUGCAGUGGGGUUGGGUGCUUGCCCUCCUGGUUCACGGCAGGGCUGCUGGGCUAUGUCCAGGACAGGUAGCAGGGGAGGCAGGGAAGAGGUGGUACUCCUCCAGGCAUAAGGGUGCAGGCACAACAUGUAUUGAGAGUCAGAGUCCGUAGUCCAGAGAUCAGGACCUGAUGGGGGGCAUCUCAAAUGCUCCUUCUGCAUAUGGUCAAGGGGAGCCCAGGUGGGGUAUCCCACAGGAGCAGUCCGAGGCUCUCUUUGCUCCAGGUUCCUAGAGUACCAGGUUGAACACAGACUGGGACCAUGUCCUGCUCCAGCCCCCAGGCAAGGGUUGCCCCUUGGAGGAGCCCCUGGCCUGCACUAAGGAAAACUGAAAGAGGGAAGGUGAGAGCUGGCCUGGACAGAGCGACCAAGAGGAGAAGAAAGGCCCAGAUCAGUGGGUGGCAAAGCUGGGGGUGGGGUCGGCAGUAUGGACUGCUGUGAUCUGUCCUGGGCACCCAGGACUCCCCUGCAGGACCACAGGACUUUCUCCUCCAGAUGCUGGGAAGACUGUCAGCUGAUAAGGGCUCCAUGGUCAGCCCUCUUUAGGAGUCUAAAGAGAGCUGCAGCAUUCCCAUCAUGGCUCAGUGGUAAUGAGCCCAACUAGUAUCCAUGAGGACUCAGGUUGGAUCCCUGGCCUCGAUCAGUGGGUUAAGGAUCUGGUGUUGCUGUGAGCUGUGGUGUAGGUCGCAGAUGUGGCUCAGAUCCCACAUGGCUGUGGCUGUGGUGUAGGCCAGCACCUGCAGCUGCAAUUCGACCUCUAGUCUGGGAACUUCCAUAUGCUGCGGGUAUGGCCCUAAAAAGAAAAAAUAAAUAAAUAAAAAAGCGAGCGAGCGAGGGAGUGAGGGCGAGAGAGAGAGCGAGAGCCCUGCAUUGUCAAGGUCAUGCCUUCUCCCCAGGGAAUCCCACCUCCACUAACUGACCGUGUGGAGGUGGAGAGGCCCAGCCACUUUGCCUAAAUGCAGGACCCCUGUGGGGGGCCACCAGCUUCAGCGCUUUCCCAUGGGGCCAGCUGAGGCCAUGACUUCAUUGAACCCUGAUUUCUCCUUUGGCCAUGUCUGCUUUCUGCCAUUAUCCUGUAGGUCUGGAUGAUCAGAACACUAAUCUCUAAUUUCUAGCUCAGAGCCUGCUUCCUGGGGAACCCAACCUGUAGCAGCUACUGACUGACCCAAAUCUAACACAUACUCAAUAAAUCUGCAUCUAGUUCCUGUCGUGGAAUAGAUGUACAUGGGCACUGGGGACAGAUCCACAGAUGGAACAUCUGGCGUGGGGUCCCAUCUGUCUGGAUAACCAGACAGGUAAGCCCAUCUCAGUAAAGUGGGUGGGUGCUGUCACAGGGGUUUGCUUCUGGAGGGCCCAACCAAGGCCACUCAUGUUUCCCCAAGGGCAUUCCUGCGUCCCAGAAUUGAAAGAGAGGAAGGAGCCAGCCUUCCUCCUUGACUCGACUCCCCCUGUAGUCAGCCUACCUGGCCUUGCGCAGGCUGCUCCUGUGCUGCUUCAGUGAUCGGACCUCCUGUGGUCUGAAGCGGCUCUGCAUAAGUACAGCCUCCUUCCUCAGAGUCUGUUCCCGCCUCUCUGUAGCUGGUCUUGUUCUCGGCCUGGGAACUUGCAGGAGUGGUCCAUUCUGGGGAUGCUGAGUGUAUCAGGGACUCCUGGACAGGUAGGAGGUGUAGUCACCGAGGGAAGCCCCCAGCACAUAGCGGUGUGGGAAGGGCUCCAUGCAUAAGUGCACAGGGAAGGGCUCUCCUGCUGGUGAGUGAAUGGGCUAUUGGAGGAGGUGCCUCCUGCCUGAGCCUGAUCUCCCCUCCAGUCUUGGAGUCUGUUCUCCCAUUUGGAACAAGUGCUCUGAGGAUAAAGCAUACUUUGGGAAAUGCUGCAGGUCUUCUCAGUGCCUUCAUCCCAGUGGGCCCUGGGACCCUGCAAAAGCAGGGCAGAGUAUGCUGCAUCUCCCCAAACUUCUUCUUUUUUUUUUUCAGAGCAUCUCUCAGGGCCAAUGUCUUAGAGAACAUGCUUUGGAAAAAAAAAAAAAUGCUGCUUUCAGAAAUUUCCAGAGCUGCUCCUGUUCUUGCUCAAAAGGGAAAGAGGAAUUCUGUCCUGGUGGAGGCUCCUAGCAGAAUGGGGGCAGGGGAGGCAGUGUUAUCUGAGAGUGGAGGAGAGCAGGGUGGGUGAGGAGGGGCAGGAAGCCAGGUGCCCCGUCUGUCACCUUCCCUGGAGCUGGGGGUGACAGUGGAGGACUGUCUGGGAAGCCAGAGCAAGAAGCCUGGGGAGGCUUGGGCGGCACUCCCGAGUCCCUGUUUCCGACAAACGCUGUGCUGCAGGCUGACAAAACCAACUCGAGUGUGCACCAGGCCAUCCUGCUCUCUGCCAGUUCAGAUGCUCAGACAGCGGGCUCUGGCUUCCAUCCUCCCUGACAUCUGAAUCACGGCGAGGCAGGAGGCAGGGCCCGGCCGGCUCCGGAGCGGGGAAAUGAUAAACAGAUGUCAGAGGACAAAGGGGCAGGAUGUGCUUGGAGGUUUGUGGCACAUCAGGCCUGCUUGCAACAGCCUUUCUCGCUCGGGAACCGAGAGGGUGGCGAGGCCAUGACAAAGGGAACCUGAUGGCAGAGGGGUUAAAGCCAUGGCCUUUGAAGCCUCACAGGCUGGGCAUGAUCCUGGCUCCAUCACUUGCUCAUUGUGUGAUCCCAGACGAGUUAUUUAAUCUGAUGUGUAAAGUAUGGAAAAUCAUCGUCCUUUACUCAAGACCGUGGCUUUGGAUGGAUUAAAUAAGAUGAUGCAUGAAAAAGACUUAACACAGUGCCUGGCACACCACGCUCAACAAAUUUAGUUGUUUAUGCUGCUGCUGCUGCUGUUGCUGCUGCUGCUGCUGGUAGUGCUGCUUGGGGAAUGGGUCCUGCUAGAUGAAAUGUUUAUUUGUCCAGCAAAUACACACUGUGCUCUGCUUGGUGCCAGGGGCCACGGCACCACCCUAGAUAUGACAGGCUGGGAGAGGCUGUGCCAAGAAGCCACUCUUGGCCACAGAGUGACAUCUAGACCCAGAACCCCCUGGACCAUUCUUCAAAUGAGAAGGCUAUGAAAGCAGCAGUAUGCAGGAAGCAUUGAAUGUGUCAGGACCUGACACCAUCAUCAGCUAGUGGCAGUGCAUGCCCUCCCGCAAGUUCCCUCUGCCAGACAGACUCUUAGUCAGCCUUCAAAACCCAGCCCAAAUGGCCCGUUUUUCCAGGCAGCCUUUCCCAAACAGCCUGAGCCCUCCUAGCACUUGAUGUCUGGCUUGGUUGUGGCACUUGCCAACUUCUAGUGGUGCAAAUGUUUACUCUUGUCUCUUUUUGGACUAGAGGGUGAGUGUGGAUAGGAAAUGUUUGGGGAACAAAAUAUAGUGAUACUUAGCUGUGUGGGUUAUGGAAUCAGUCAUGUGUGGGUUGAUAUCCUUGGAUACACCAAAUUUUGUGACCUUGGUGAAUUAGUUAACAUCUCUAAGCAUCAGUCACUUUACCUAUAAAGCCGAGCAAAAAUAUAGAUUUCCUGAAGCUGUUAUGAGGCUAAAAAGAGUCACUUGCCACCAAGGGCUUCGCACAGAACCUGACACACAGGAAUCACUAGGGACACUUGCUAACAUGAUUGGCUUUCUAUCUUUGUGUCUGUCUAGUCUUACCCUGGUUCUUGGCCUAUUGCAGGUGCUCUAUAAUUAGUUAUCAAUUGAAUAAAAUCAAUUCCCAAUCCCAGGACUCAGGAUCAAAAUCUAUCAAAUGAGGCCAUUUCAGCUAAAUCCUCUGCACCCAAAGAAAUUCUAAAGCAGUCCAGACCUACCCCUUCGAUUAGCAGAUGGGGAACUGAGGCCUGUGCAAUUGCGUGGGGCCACUGCAUGCAAGCAAAGGCACUCAGAUUCUCCUUGGUGAGCUGGAAUGUUAUUUUGGUUAGUUCUGCAGAGCGCGGGCUCUCAAUAGCCAGUCUCUUUCCCAUCUGAGCUGUUUUGUGUAGAGGAAAUAUCAAGGUGUAUGAUGUCAAGGCAGUUAAGUAAUCCAAGCAGCUGUGUAAACAUCUGGAAGUAGUAGAGACACAGCCCCCGAGUGAAAGCAGGGAUCAGUGCACCCAGACGUCUCGGAGAGGCUUCUAAACCAUCACCUGUGAGGAGCCAGCUAGGAGAGCAGUGCUCUGAUCAGAAACCUGAGCAUGCGUUCUUUGCUCUUCAGGCUCUGAGUCGUGGAGGCCAAGGAGGACAAGAAGGCCCCUGUGCCUGGUGUGACUUUGGAAAGUGGAUGUGAGGUUUAGGAAAGUCCUGCUAAUGACAUGUCAGCAGCAGCUGGAAACAAGUUGUCAGAUUCACAGGGAAUUGCCUCUUCUCACUCUUUCCCCAUGGCAGGGAGUGGAGGUGGACUGCCCUGAGCCCAGAUGCCCAAGAGAAAAGGCAGGGGCGUCUAGGGCUUCGCACUGGGAAUCCCCAAUCUGCUUUCUCCUUAGAAGUGAAUAUUCAUGACCCAGAGAGGCCAGUGGCAAAAGGUUCUGCAGGAGCUUCUAGCCCACUGCUCGAGUCCUGGAUGAGGGAAGAGGAGUCCAGAGAAGGAGGCUGCAUGGCCAAGGUCACACAGCUGGGAAGGGAAAGACUCAGAAGCAGGAGCCAAGCUUCCUGACUCCAAAUCCACGCCAGUUUCCCUAUUACCCAAUUGUCCUCUCUCCCUAUUUAAAAUUAUUCUAAUAGUAUUUAUCAUUUCUUUUUUGUAUCUAAUUACAAAGGGAACAUUGUAAGAAAUGUGGAAAACACUCAGAAGCACAAAA
rnacentral:lncRNA from 9 species